rnacentral:rRNA from 1 species
UACGUAGGGUGCAAGCGUUGCCCGGAUUUAUUGGGCGUAAAGGGCGCGUAGGCGGGCAUUCAAGUCCGUGGUGAAAUCCGGCAGCUCAACUGUCGAACUGCCGCGGAUACUGGGUGUCUCGAGGGAGGUAGGGGCGUGCGGAACUAUUGGUGGAGCGGUGAAAUGCGUUGAUAUCAAUAGGAACUCCGGUGGCGAAGGCGGCACGCUGGACCUCUUCUGACGCUGAGGCGCGAAAGCCAGGGGAGCAAACGGG